CCUACGAGUGGCAGCAGUGGGGGAUAUUGCACAAUGGGGGAAACCCUGAUGCAGCGACGCCGCGUGGGUGAAGAAGCGCCUCGGCGUGUAAAGCUCUGUCAGCAGGGAAGAAAAAGACGGUACCUGAAGAAGAAGCCCCGGCUAACUACGUGCCAGCAGCCGCGGUAAUACGUAGGGGGCCAGCGUUAUCCGGAUUUACUGGGUGUAAAGGGAGCGUAGACGGGGAUGUAAGUCAGGAGUGAAAGCGCGGGGCCCAACCCCGGGACUGCUGUUGAAACUGGGUGGCUAGAGUGCAGGAGGGGUAAGCGGAAUUCCUGGUGUAGCGGUGAAAUGCGUAGAUAUCAGGAGGAACACCGGUGGCGAAGGCGGCCUACUGGACUGCAACUGACGUUGAGGCCCGAAAGCGUGGGGAGCAAACAGGAUUAGAUACCCUAGUAGUC
rnacentral:rRNA from 1 species